UACAGAGGGGGCGAGCGUUAUUCGGAAUUAUUGGGCGUAAAGGGCGCGUAGGCGGCCUUUCAAGUGACGGGUGAAAUCCCUCGGCUUAACCGAGGAACUGCCUGUCAGACUGGAAGGCUUGAGACCGGGAGAGGUGAGUGGAAUUCCCAGUGUAGCGGUGAAAUGCGUAGAUAUUGGGAGGAACACCAGUGGCGAAGGCGGCUCACUGGACCGGUACUGACGCUGAGGCACGAAAGCCAGGGGAGCAAACGGG
rnacentral:rRNA from 1 species